GUGAGGAAUAUUGGUCAAUGGGCGAGAGCCUGAACCAGCCAAGUCGCGUGAAGGAAGAAGGAUCUAUGGUUCGUAAACUUCUUUUGCAGGGGAAUAAAGUGCAGGACGUGUCCUGUUUUGUAUGUACCCUGAGAAUAAGGAUCGGCUAACUCCGUGCCAGCAGCCGCGGUAAUACGGAGGAUCCGAGCGUUAUCCGGAUUUAUUGGGUUUAAAGGGUGCGUAGGUGGUUUGAUAAGUCAGCGGUGAAAGUUUGCAGCUUAACUGUAAAAAUGCCGUUGAAACUGUCGGACUUGAGUGUAAAUGAGGUAGGCGGAAUGCGUGGUGUAGCGGUGAAAUGCAUAGAUAUCACGCAGAACUCCGAUUGCGAAGGCAGCUUACUAAGCUACAACUGACACUGAAGCACGAAAGCGUGGGGAUCAAACAGGAUUAGAAACCCUGGUAGUCC
rnacentral:rRNA from 1 species